rnacentral:rRNA from 1 species
ACUGAAUAGAUACCCAGGUAGUCCCAGCCGUAAACGAUGCUCGCUAGGUGUCAGGCAUGGCGCGACCGUGUCUGGUGCCGCAGGGAAGCCGUGAAGCGAGCCACCUGGGAAGCACGGCCGCAAGGCUGAAACUUAAAGGAAUUGGCGGGGAGCACAACAAACGGUGGAGCCUGCGGUUUAAUUUAGGUACGUCAACGCCGGACGAACUCACCGGGGACGGACAGCAAUAUGUAGGCCAGGCUGAAGACCUUGCCUGAAUCGCUGAGAGGAGGUGCAUGGCCGUCGCCAGUUCGUACUGUGAAGCAUCCUGUUAAGUCAGGCAACGAGCGAGACCCGUGCCACUGUUACCAGCAUAUCCUCCGGGAUGAUGGGUACUCUGUGGGGACCGCCGGU